rnacentral:rRNA from 1 species
UAAAUCAACCCUUUAUUUCUGGUCGCUCCUCAUCUUUUGUUCCGGUGGCUAGGCUUGGGGCCAAGACGGGGGGGCGUGCCUCCACGGCGUGACGGCGCCAGCGAAAGAGGCAGGAUGCCGUGAAGGCGACGUGGCCGGGCGACAGAAGGAGGUCCCAAGACCCUAGGCUGUCAGGGCGCGGCUCCGCGAGGGACGAGGCCACGAGGAGGGAAAGGCGCGUGAGAUAGGGUCUCGUGCUCGUUACGCCUUUUUUUUGUCUUUGGACGCGAGAUCACCACCACUGCUUCCGCCCUAUUGAAGACCAGAUAGUUCAUCUGUGGGUAAGAGCUAAGGAUUCGCGUUACCUAAACAAAGACAACCGCUUUCGACAUAAGACUUCUGUUUAGUAAAAUUUGGUAGCUGAAUAACACUGUUAUAAAUGGCUAUACUCCAUAAAUACUUGAUACUCAAAGACAGUAGACCGGGGAGAGUACGAUGGCGGUAGAGUACACCACAGUUUGCACGACAAUACUCUUUCGAAACGUUCUACAUAUCCCUUAGUGUAAACGCACCGGCCGCAGGAGUAUACUACCUUCCUUGUCCAAUAUACGUAGACCUGGCAAAAGUAAACUUAGACUCUGGAAACAAUAUUGUAAUGUUUUACUCCUUCUAUCAGAACUAAUACCCGUUUGGGGUGUCUCCGGGUGCUGUCACAAAAGACAGUGGUAUUGAAUGUUACGUAAAAACUGGCCUCGUUAACUGUCACUUCUUAAGUAAGUUCGUACGUUGUGACAAGACACACUUAGAGGCUAACUUCCCGUAAAGGCUCAGCCAGCUAGUAAAAUAGCUAGAUCACGCUACAAGGUGCUUGAACCACCUCCGAACUUUCCGACGACACCAAAAAUAGCUUCGUAUGUUGCGUCAGUCUACCCUGAAAGUGAUUUAUAGCUAUGAAGGAUAUUUCGUAAGUAGUUCGGAGUUGAGCACUAACUAAAACAACGGCUCGAAGAAACGUCUGCGUAGAGGCUACCGGGGUAUUUAAUAUAACUUGCGGACUUCUAGCGCUUUCGAAACGUACCAUAUUUCCAAAUACAGUGUGUAUCCCCGCUACACGCAUUCUUCAUGGCAUAUAGACCGGAAAGUAGUCUUCCCCGUUCGUUCGAUAGAAAAGGUCAACCACUAGUACCUUGAGUCUUCUGUCAUUACGUUAUGAAGGUCCUCUUUGUACCGAUACUAUAAGUCGUAAAACAAAACGGAACGAACGUUCAACCAUUAGUCGUCUCCGGUUUAAUGGACGGUUACCUCCAGACAUUCUAUCGGCUCCCUGUUGUGAUGUCUCUUGUCAAUUUACUCCUUGUCAAUAGACGAGAAGCACUUCAAUGAACGGUCGCGGGGUAUCUCUUCCUUGACCGGUAAAAUGUCUGAAGUUUUAAUAUGUUACGCCUGGGUAUAUGUUUCCUUAAACCGUAUUGAAAAAUAUUGUUUGAGUGUUGUCAACUUCCAGCACACGAUGGAGGAGGAAUGCAUUCAUAGUAUUGGUAGUCAAACAUAGAUGAAUAAAGGGUAUAUACAAUGUAAACGUAACAGAGAGACACAAAAUGAUAAAAAAAACCCAGAACCGAAUUUAAAGAACUAGCGUGACCGUUUUUACUACAUAAUCACAAUGGUUUUCAGCCGUUCACCCUAUACACCACGUUCUUUUACCAGUUACCUCCUCAUCAAUUGUGGACCCGUACGUAAUUGAAACGAACCCUUCAGUGUCUACGAGUACGAGACUUAAAAACACUACUCAACCACGACUACACGUUACAUAGGCCCUACCUGAAGUCCGGACUUGGACACGAGGGACAUCGUCGAAUACUGGGAUUUAGGCAUCGUGCCAGUGAGUUCUUUGUGGUAUUUGCACAGUACUUGUAUGAACCUGGUGCCGCGGUUUUUGAGCUGGACGACUAAGAUUAUAACGGACUGUUAUUACCGUGAGAAAUACCACUGUAGUUUUCUUAUAACCUCUGUCUAUAACCUCACCAGAGAGUUACAACAGAACGUUUUGUACAAAAAUACGGUUUUUUUGUCAUAAAACGCUUACAACGGGAAUUUUAAUUACAAUUCCGGCCUCCCUCUUUAUGCCAUGAACAAUCACGAAACCUCUCCUUUGAGGGGGCAUAACCAUUUUAUGGCUGAUAGUAUAAACCGCGACUACAAUCAGUAGGUGUAGGACCUCUUCCUACAAGAUCAGGAAGGUAACGUCGACAACAACGAAGAGUUCUGACCGGACUCUAAUGGUUCAUACGACCUAAUCAGUCAGGUGUUUGGGUAGCCCUUCUUCAGUAUUUAUUGGAAAAAUUACUUCUUUGACCACCUUACUAGUUUCUCGUGGAGUAAAGAAAGUCCUCCCGUUGACCUACGUAUGGACCCUCUUAGUAUAAAAUGUCCCUACCACAGUCGUUACCUGUCGAAUUAGUCCAAAACCUACAACUUGAAGGACGGUAUUUUUUCCGGACACGUAGGGACCUGGGAACGAUAUCGGGUGCUCAAUGGAAACAACAGCAAGUCUUUGCAGUAGUAUGGGCAGACAAAAGACUAUUGAUACUACAACACUCAUGUUAAAUACCUUCACCUUUACAUGAUGGACCAUGUCACUAACUAUUUCUUCAUACGGUAGGGUGACUGAAACUAAAAAUAAACACAUCGGUACGACAGUGAUUCCCUCACUCGGCUGGACACGCAAUAGUACAAGACACCCUACUUUUGUUCAAAUGCCGAUUGCGAAACGUUUGCGAGUGUUUGGUGGAUACGAUGCGCAUACGCUCUACGUGGAGAAGACAAAGUCAACACGGAGGACAGAUGAUACGUGUAGAAAACCGAAGCGCCCCUGCUGAAAUAUAGUUUGCUCCCGUACUCCCUAGGAAAGGGCAAGAGUCACUUUUACACUUUCCACAAUACAAAAAGACGAUUUCGUCAAAACUUUCACAACUAUACCCACUUAUCCUCGGGUCUUGUUAAAUGUAACUCGAACUCGAAAUCAAAUUAUGAUUAGUACAAAGACUCAUCUAGGAUUAAUGAGGGAGGAUAGGUAACAUGAUGUAAUUAGACGCUAUUAGUUAUAACCUAGUCUCUCUCAUGUGAAAUCUAUGCGGGAAACAGGUUCACACAACCGGUGGAUUCCAACCAGUAUUACCCUUGAUUUCAGAGCAUAUGAUCAUAGUAUGAUGGAUGGUACCCCUCAUUGUACGUACAUAAUGAUCAGAUAUAAUGAUAGAGAUAUCACCCUUUAUUGUACACACUAUAGUACGUUGUGAGAACCAUAGACCACAGUACGUUGUGAGAACCAUUCAUUUAAACGACUCACCUAGAAUACAAUGAAGAGUUAAAUUAAGGUGAUUCCCGUCAGAGUACGUAUUAUGAGCACAUACUACAGUGGAGUGGUUACGUAUCAUAGUAUUGAACUAUAGUAUAACUGUAAUAGAUAACAGUAC